ensembl:lncRNA
GAAACAGGCAGCUCUCUGGACGCUAGGGGAGCAGAGUUCCCAGAAGGCCUUGCAGGACGGGAGAGCAGAUCUAGGGGGGAGGGCGGAGUCAAGGCUAAUUUCCUGUAUGGAUGGCCUUACGCUAAGCCCCUCCCACAGCAUGACGGACAGGCCAGUUGAGGUAGGCACACACAACACAUGAUCAAACACACAAUACAGAAGUAUACAUGACCAUUCACACAAAACACACAAUACGCACAAUCCACACAAUCCACACAAUCCACACAAAAUGGUGUCACCUUGCUCAGGAGGUCGAGCGGGUUGACUUGAGUCAACCCGCUCGACCCGUUCGACCCAGAAGGUUGCUAGUUGGAUCCCCGGCUCCUCCUAGCUGAGGGUCGAGGUAUCCCUGAGCGAGACGCCUCACCCUGACUGCUCGUGACCAGCUGGCUGUCGCCCUGUGGGGUCGACUCCGCCGGUGGGGGGAAUGUGUGGACGAACGGUUGUAAGUUGCUUUGGAGAAAAGGUCUGCUAAAUGUAAAUAUAAAAGAGCAAUGUCCAAUGUCCAAUGUGUAUUACAUAUCCAAUGUAUUUUCUGUGUAUUUCCUCUGUAUAUUUGAAUGUUUAUUUCUGUGUAUUUCCUCUGUAUAUUUCCUUUGUAUUUAAAUGUGUAUUUUCUGUGUAUUUCCUCUGUAUAUUUCCUGUGUAUUUGAAUGUGUAUUUCCUGUGUAUUUGAAAGUGUAUUUCCCGUGUAUUUGAAAGCAUAUUUCCUGUGUAUUUGAAAGUGUAUUUCCUGUGUAUUUGAAAGUGUAUUUCUUGUGUCUUGCCGAAGGACCUCAGGGAGACGGCGGCCAUCGUUACCCAGGGAGACGAACUACGAGCUCUAAAAGGCCGUCGGACACUGCGCCUACCUGGAGCCCUACGGCCUUUAGAAAUGAAGAUCCACAACAGACCAGCAGCUCAGCAACACAGAGUCCCUAUAGGUUCCGGUGUUAAGAGGGUCAGUCGAAGUCCGUCCACCUCAAACCUCAGAAGCACUGCGGCUAACUCCAGGCUAGGCAACUCCCUGGGCGACCUCUACGGCGGUGAGGUGGAGGAGGCCAGGCAGACCUACAGCCCUCUUCACCCCCCGUCCUCUCCUCGCUCCCCCGCGGCCACCCUCCUCCCCCGGGGCCCCCGAGUGCCGCCCAAGGACCCCGGUCAGUACUUUGGCGCCCCUGGGAGGCCCAGUGGGAAGAAGGCUCCGGGGCCGCAGGCUCCCUACAGCGGGCUGAAGGCAGCCUCCGGGCGAUACCUCAGCCGCUCGAUUCCUGUAAGUACACACUACACUACCACAACCAGCAUAGCAACUACACUACCACAACCAGCAUAG